UCAUGUCUCACCUCAGUCUCCCCUCUUUUAGAUUAAAACUGUUCCUCCUGUCCCAUCCCUCCCUGCCCUUGUCCCAGGUCCCUCCCCAGCUUUCCUGGAGCCCCUUCAGGCACUGGAAGGUGCUCUAAGGUCUCCCUGGAGCCUUCUCUUCUCCAGGCUGAACACCCCAACUCUCCCAGCCUGUCUCCAGAGCAGAGCUGCUCCAGCCAUCCCAUCACCUCCGUGGUGUUCAGCCCUUGGUGUCACACAUCCCAGGAGCAGCUGUUCAGGCUGGUGAAGAGCUAGAGCUCUUGAGCAGUGUUUGGUGGCCCCUGACGUGCAGUGUUGAGGUCUCUGUGGUCCUUCCUAAACUUCUCUAUCCCCAUGAGUCCACCUCCUGCUCCUUACCUUGGUGCCACGAGGAUUAACUGGCUCCUCAUGGAUUCCACUUGUUCCUCACCAGGAAACCACAGAACUGGGCAACGUUCACCAGAAGGAAGGAAAACCAAGAGGGAAGGGAAGGAAAACCAAGAGGGAAAGGAAGGAAAACCAAGAGGGAAAGGAAGGAAAACCAAGAGGAAAAGGAAGGAAAACCAAGAGGGAAAGGAAGGAAAACCAAGAGGAAAAGGAAGGAAAACCAAGAGGGAAAGGAAGGAAAACCAAGAGGGAAAGGAAGGAAAACCAAGAGGAAAAGGAAGGAAAACCAAGAGGAAAAGGAAGGAAAACCAAGAGGGAAAGGAAGGAAAACCAAGAGGAAAAGGAAGGAAAACCAAGAGGGAAAGGAAGGAAAACCAAGAGGGAAAGGAAGGAAAACCAAGAGGAAAAGGAAGGAAAACCAAGAGGGAAAGGAAGGAAAACCAAGAGGGAAAGGAAGGAAAACCAAGAGGGAAAGGAAGGAAAACAAAGAGGAGAAAAAACAAGGUGUGUGGAAGUGCUGGAGAAGGAAUGAGAGAAGGAAGAAACAGGAAGGGCAGGCAGGACCAUAAGCUGCCUUUGUGUGAAGCUGGAGCUCCAUCCAGGAAUGGUUAUUUCUGUGCUUUCAAUCAGGAUGAUGUAAACACUG